UCUCCUGUAGCUCAGUGGUAGAACGUCCGACCGCGUGUGCAGAAGGUCAUAGCUUCGACUCCUGUUCGGAGGAC
rnacentral:tRNA from 1 species